rnacentral:rRNA from 1 species
GAUGAACGCUAGCUAUAGGCUUAACACAUGCAAGUCGAGGGGAAACGGCAUUAUGUGCUUGCACAUUUUGGACGUCGACCGGCGCACGGGUGAGUAUCGCGUAUCCAACCUGCCCUUUACUUGGGGAUACCCCGUUGAAAGACGGCCUAAUACCCGAUGUAAUUCAUUGAUGGCAUCAGAUAUAAAUAAAAUAUUUAUCGGUAAAGGAUGGGGAUGCGUUUGAUUAGCUUGUUGGUAAGGUAACGGCUCACCAAGGCGACGAUCAGUAGGGGUUCUGAGAGGAAGGUCCCCCACAUUGGAACUGAGACACGGUCCAAACUCCUACGGGAGGCAGCAGUGAGGAAUAUUGGUCAAGGGGCGCAAGCCUGAACCAGCCAAGUAGCGUGCAGGAAGACGGCCCUAUGGGUUGUAAACUGCUUUUAUACGAGAAUAAUUUGAUGCACGUGUGCGUUAUUGAAUGUAUCGUAUGAAUAAGGACCGGCUAAGUCCGUG